AUUUCUAUCGUCUCUUUGUCUCUCUCUCUCUCUCUCUCUCUCUCUCCAAUCGAUGCUUCGAUGUUCAUCUGUAGAAAAAGGGAUCGAAGAAUCAAAUCCAUUGAAAGUACAAUUUUAUGUUUAUCAACUUCAUUCGAUCAAGUAUCUGCUAAAUCAAGCGAUGUAUGUCAAAGAUCAUUGUCUCCAUGAGUAGAUUGGCCAUCUAAGUUUUGAAUUGGGAGAAAUCAAAUCUUUUUGUCAAGAUCGAGACUGAUAGAAAACAAUCAUGUAUUUUCAGACAUCUUCUCGUGCUAAAAAGAGUCCUACAGGAUAAAAUAUAGACCCUUGGAGCGGAUAGACAGAGCCCGGAUUCAGAUUUAUAAACUGGCAUAAAUCUGAUGAUAGCAUCAUAUAUGUAAAGGCAUGAAGUAUUAGAUUGCAGUCAUCAUAAGUGAUAUAAAGAGACGCUCAAACUGAGUACCGAGACAAACAUAGAGAGAUGAAUUUUAACUACAAUGACAUCACAGAUCAUAAGGGCCGGAAGACCAAUGAGUGAGUCAACAACAUUUGCGAACACCAUACUUUCAAUACGGUUAGUAAUAACUUAUCUAUUAUAACUAAAUCAUAAGUUUAAAGCAAUGUAAAAAUAUUUUUAAGAAAUUAGAUUAAGAAAAAACAAUGGCUUAAGUAUAUAUGCUGGGUUAAUACCACGAUUAAUACAAAUCUUUUCUUCACAAUAGUUUAUAAUCUUGCAUCAGUCAUCCUCAAAAAACCUGAUAUCAUGACAUUUUAUAUGUGGCUGAUGUUUGAGUUGGACUAUCGGAGGACGAAAUUCAAGUUAUCCAGAUACAAUGGAAGACGACAACCUAGACACAGACUGAGAAUACGUGCUCUAUAUCUUCAGACAAAACCUCCCAAGUGGGUUCCCAUACAGUCUCCGGCUCAGAUAAAGUGUUACUCAUAAGCAUCAUAACAAAAACAUUUCGUAGCUCACUUGCUGUGCUUUCAUAACUUCUUCUUAGUAUGUCAUCAAUGUAUUCUUGAUCAUCAUCUAAUAACCCACGAGCAUAACAUGCUGCUUUGUAGCUCGGAUGUAGAACACCUUCAUAGGUUUUAAUGUCAUCAUAACUGGUGGGUCCUCUGACAAUGUUCAAUAAUACACGCAAGAAAUAAGUAUUUUCCUGGGUCCGAGGAGCAUAAUUAAUCCUCCCUAGAGCAAAACCCCUUUUCCUUCUUUUGAACUUCUUUGACCUUUUAUCAUAAGUGAAGAAGUUUGGAAUCUGAGCGUAGGUCAACGUUCUGGCAAGGGAGUCAAUCUUACACAACUCAAACCAAGCUAAGAACAUUGUAUUUUCAAUGAGCUUCCGGGUGACCACUGUUUUCAAUUUAUCUUUCUCUUUGAAUGUAACAACUUGCUUUCCGGGUAGAUGAAAACUAAGCUUCUCUACAGCAACAGAUCGAUAGUGAAUAGGGAAUUUGAACACUCUCCAAGUUCCUUCACAUGUCGAAACGUAUCUGCAAAAACGAAAAAGUUGUUUAUUAAGUCCAUUUAAUUUGCAGCUUACUUAUAACACGAACAUUAAACAAACAUACCUGCAAUCGAAUAAUUCCUUGAGUUCAUUCCUUUUCUUCUCAAGAUUUUCCUUAGUAAGAUCGACAUCUCCUAACUCACUUGCAACAAUGUGGUCUGGGGGUUCAACAGCAACUGUGCAAUGAUCAUGUCCUUUAUUUAUGUACUAGAUUAAGACCCGCGCCUUGCGCGGGAUAAACAUUAUAUAUAAA